GACGAACGCUGGCGGCGUGCCUAAUACAUGCAAGUAGAACCACAGGAUGCACCGUAGUUUACUACACCGUAUUCUGUGAGUGCGAACGGGUGAGUAACGCGUAGGUAACCUGCCUGUAGCGGGGGAUAACUAUUGGAAACGAUAGCUAAUACCGCAUAAGAACAUUUACUGCAUGUAGAUGAAAAGGUGCAAAUGCAUCACUACCAGAUGGACCUGCGUUGUAUUACUAGUUGGUGAGGUAACGGCUCACCAAGGCAACGAUACAUACCGACCUGAGAGGGUGAUCGGCCACACUGGGACUGAGACACGGCCCAGACUCCUACGGGAGGCAGCAGUAGGGAAUCUUCGGCAAUGGGGGGAACCCUGACCGAGCAACGCCGCGUGGUGAAGAAGGUUUUCGGAUCGUAAAGCUCUGUUGUUAAGGAAGAACGUGUGUGAGAGUGGAAAGUCACACAGUGACGGUACUUAACCAGAA
rnacentral:rRNA from 1 species